UACGUAGGGGGCAAGCGUUGUCCGGAUUUAUUGGGCGUAAAGAGCGUGUAGGCGGCCAUGUAGGUCCGUUGUGAAAACUCGAGGCUCAACCUCGAGACGCCGGUGGAAACCGUAAGGCUAGAGUCCGGAAGAGGAGAGUGGAAUUCCUGGUGUAGCGGUGAAAUGCGCAGAUAUCAGGAAGAACACCCGUGGCGAAGGCGGCUCUCUGGGACGGUACUGACGCUGAGACGCGAAAGCGUGGGGAGCGAACAGG
rnacentral:rRNA from 1 species